GCCCAGACUCCUACGGGAGGCAGCAGUGAGGAAUAUUGGUCAAUGGGCGGGAGCCUGAACCAGCCAAGUCGCGUGAGGGAUGACGGCCCUAUGGGUUGUAAACCUCUUUUGCCGGGGAGCAAAGUGCCGCACGUGUGCGGUUUGGAGAGUACCCGGAGAAAAAGCAUCGGCUAACUCCGCGCCAGCAGCCGCGGUAAUACGGAAGGUCCGGGCGUUAUCCGGAUUUAUUGGGUUUAAAGGGAGCGUAGGCCGGUCUUUAAGCGUGCGGUGAAAUUUUGUGGCUCAACCAUGGGAGUGCGGCGGGAACGGGAGACCUUGAGUGCGCGGAAGGCAGGCGGAAUUCGUGGUGUAGCGGGGAAAUGCUUAGAUAUCACGAAGAACCCCGAUGGCGAAGGCAGCCUGCCGCAGCGUUACUGACGCUGAAGCUCGAAAGCGCGGGUAUCGAACAGGAUUAGAUACCCCCGUAA
rnacentral:rRNA from 1 species